GGGUCAGUAGGUUGGUCGUGCCACCGGUACGUACUGGUCUCACUGAUUCCUCCUUCCUGAAGAACCGUAAUGCCAUUAAUUUGGUGUUGCGGGGAAACAGGACAGUUACUUUGAAAAAAUUAGAGUGUUUAAAGCAAGCUAACGCUUGAAUACAUUAGCAUGGAAUAAUGAAAUAGGGCGAUCGAUCCUAUUUUGUUGGUUUCUAGGAUUGACGUA
rnacentral:rRNA from 1 species